rnacentral:rRNA from 1 species
GAGUGGCCGAUAUCUGAUUAGCUAGUUGGUGAGGUAAAGGCUCACCAAGGCGACGAUCAGUAGCUGGUCUGAGAGGACGACCAGCCACACUGGAACUGAGACACGGUCCAGACUCCUACGGGAGGCAGCAGUGGGGAAUUUUGGACAAUGGGCGCAAGCCUGAUCCAGCCAUUCCGCGUGAGUGAAGAAGGCCUUCGGGUUGUAAAGCUCUUUCGCAAGGGAAGAAAACUUACCCAAUAACACUGGGUGAGGCUGACGGUACCUUGAUAAGAAGCACCGGCUAACUACGUGCCAGCAGCCGCGGUAAUACGUAGGGUGCGAGCGUUAAUCGGAAUUACUGGGCGUAAAGCGUGCGCAGGCGGUUUUGUAAGUCAGAUGUGAAAGCCCCGGGCUUAACCUGGGAACUGCGUUUGAAACUACAAGGCUAGAGUGUAGCAGAGGGGGGUAGAAUUCCACGUGUAGCAGUGAAAUGCGUAGAGAUGUGGAGG